CAAUAGCGGAGGAAAAGAAAAUAACAAUGAUUUCCCUAGUAACGGCGAGUGAAGAGGAAAGAGCUCAAAGUUGGAAACUGUUUGGCUUAGCUAAACCGUAUUGUAAACUGUAGAAACAUUUUCCUGGCACGCCGGAUUAAUAAGUCCUUUGGAACAAGGCAUCAUGGAGGGUGAGAAUCCCGUCUUUGAUCCGAGUAGUUGUCUUUUGUGAUAUGUUUUCAAAGAGUCAGGUUGUUUGGGAAUGCAGCCUAAAUUGGGUGGUAAAUCUCACCUAAAGCUAAAUAUUUGCGAGAGACCGAUAGCGAACAAGUACCGUGAGGGAAAGAUGAAAAGAACUUUGAAAAGAGAGUUAAACAGUAUGUGAAAUUGUUAAAAGGGAACCGUUUGGAGCCAGACUGGUUUGACUGUAAUCAACCUAGAAUUCGUUCUGGGUGCACUUGCAGUCUAUACCUGCCAACAACAGUUUGAUUUGGAGGAAAAAAUUAGUAGGAAUGUAGCCUCUCGAGGUGUUAUAGCCUACUAUCAUACUCUGGAUUGGACUGAGGAACGCAGCGAAUGCCUUUAGGCAAGAUUGCUGGGUGCUUUCGCUAAUAAAUGUUAGAAUUUCUGCUUCGGGUGGUGCUAAUGUUUAAAGGAGGAACACAUCUAGUAUAUUUUUUAUUCGCUUAGGUUGUUGGCUUAAUGACUCUAAAUGACCCGUCUUGAACACGGAACCA
rnacentral:rRNA from 1 species